CGCACCGGACGGUCGGUGCGGGCUCUCGACGUACGCCGGGACGGCCCGG
rnacentral:ncRNA from 1 species